GCGGAGCAGGCCAGGCCAGGCUGAGAAGUGCCCUUGCGUGGGUAGGCAUAGGAGCUGGCUGAGAUCAAGCCAUGCCUUCCUUCUCCGGCCCCAGAGCACCUGGUGCAGAGUGUCUGCAAGUCCUACAGGGAGACAUGCCAGCUGCGGCUGGAGGACCUGCUGCGGCAGCGCUCCAACAUCUUCUCCCGGGAGGAAGUGACUGGCUACCAGAGGAAGGUGAGGCCAGGAGACCUGCAGGAAGGCAACAUAUCCCACCCCCACGGGGAGAGUUCAGAGAUGGCUACCUGCACACGCCUGGGUCCUGGGGCAGGGUGGGACAUCACAGACACAGGCUGGCCAACAAACAUGUGCACACCUUCUAUGUACAGUCUUGAAUGUGUGUAUCUGUCUACACCCCAGCAGAUGGAUGAGCGCUUUUCCUUAGUUCUUGCCUAUUAAAAUUGUACCUGGCCUUCAUCCUACCUCCUCUACCAUGCAGACCUUGGUGCACCCUCCUUCCUCCUCUUCCAUCAACAAUAACAAUAAUCAGAACCCUGAUUACCAUUUGUUAACACCCCUUCUCUGCCAGGCAUUGUGCUAAAUGCUUUAUGUAAAUUAUCCUCAGCCCCUACCACAACCAACCUAUGAGGGUGACAUUUAUUCCUACUUUUAACAGACAGAAACUGAGCCUAGAGGGAUUAAUAGAUUUCCUCAAAGUCACAAAGUGGUGGAACCAAAGUCAAAUUCAGAUUCAUCAGGCUCCAAAACUUAUGCUGCCUUUUCGAUCACACUCUCAUGAUACCACCUGCUCUAAACACACUCGUUUGGCACUUCACAUUUGCUUCUCUAGGUUAUUGAGACCUUGGGCAUAACCUUUGUGGGGGAAGGGGCAGCAGUAUGUCCUGUUCACCUCAGCAAGAUGUACCUUGUUGGAGGGCAAAGCUGUAUCUCAUAGUUUUUUGAUUCCCUCACAACAGCUAACUCGGUGUCAGCAGCCGGUGGGUGCUCAGUGUGUGGGACUCACUGGCAGGAAUCUGUGCAUUUGUGCUAAGACCAGGCUUUUGAAAAUGCUAGUUGAGAACAUAGGCGUUCAGAGCCUACCCCUUGCAGUUUAUUAGGUGGGGCUCCAGGGCUCAGGAGGAUCACAGGGCCACACAGAGCGCUACAGCGGGACCCUCCUCCUUCCCUGCAGUCCAUGUGGGAGAUGUGGGAACGCUGUGCCCACCACCUCACCGAGGCCAUUCAGUACGUGGUGGAGUUCGCCAAGAGGCUCUCAGGCUUUAUGGAGCUCUGCCAGAAUGACCAGAUUGUGCUUCUCAAAGCAGGUGCCCAGGGAUGGGUGGGCAGGCCCGGGGGCAAGGGGACAGAGCACGGCAUGGGGCAGAGCCAAGUGGAGGGAGGUGGCUUAAGGAAAUCAGGGGGACAGAGUCAGACUCUGGCUUUGCUUGACACUGUCCCUGCAUCUUCUCUCCCCACUGCCCAGGAGCAAUGGAAGUGGUGCUGGUUAGGAUGUGCCGGGCCUACAAUGCUGACAACCGCACGGUCUUUUUUGAAGGCAAAUACGGUGGCAUGGAGCUGUUCCGAGCCUUGGGUGAGGGGCAGGGAGAAAUGAGAGAGAAGAUUCUGAUGCCAACCCCAGGCAAAGCUUUGUGACCCUCUUUUCAGGGCGAAUUGCCCCCUCUGCUCUAAACAUCAUAAGGGCGGUGUCCUCGGGCACCAUCGCUCCAGCCACUCUCUCACUUUUCUCAUUUCCACUCCAUCAGGCUGCAGCGAGCUCAUCAGCUCCAUCUUUGACUUCUCCCACUCCCUAAGUGCCUUGCACUUUUCCGAGGACGAGAUUGCCCUCUACACAGCCCUUGUUCUCAUCAAUGCCUGUGAGUGUCGCUGGGCUUGGGUGAAGGACAUUCAGGUGGCAGGGGCAUGGCAGAUAUCGAAGAAGAGUCUAGACCUUCAGAUGUGGUUAAAUCUGGGAAAUUGCUUUAAAUAGCAGAAUGAGCCCUACUCAGUAUUGCUAUAAAAUAGAAUGAGUUAAAAUAAAGAUUCAGAGGACUCUCAGAGAGGGACAAGAGCAGCAUAAGGUGGGGUUGUGGGAAGUGAGGAGAAAUGAGGUUGAGAGGAAAUGAGCGACUUUCCUGACAAAAAUGUAUCUGAUUGUUAGUCUAUGGCAGUGAUUUCAUUAUAGCACACAUCAGAAUCACCUGGGGAGCUUUAAAAACUAUUGCUGCCUGGGUCCCACUUCCAGAGAUUCCAGUGUACAUGUGCUCCGUGACUUAUGAUGGGGUUAUGUCCCAAUAAACCUAUCAUAAGUUGAAAAUAUGGUAAGUUGAAAUUGCACGCCUAACCCACUGAAUGUCAUAGCUUAGCCUAGCCUAUCUUAAACGUGCUCAGAAUGCUUACAUUAGCCUACAGUCUGGCAAAAGCAUAUAGCACAAAGCCUAUUUUAUAAUAAGGUGUUGAAUAGCUCAUGUAAUUUAUUGAAUAUGGUUCUAAAAGUGAACAGCAGAAUGGUUGCAUGGGUAUUAAAAGUAUGGUUUCUACUGAAUGCAAGUGGCUUUCUCACCAACAUAAAAUCAAAAAAUAGUAUGUCAAAUCAUCAUAAGACUGGGAUCAUAUGUAAUUGAUCAGGGGUGCACUGAAUUUUAACAGCCACCCCCAGGCCACCAAGAUUAAGAAUCACUGCUCUCUGUGAACUAAUUUUAAGGCUGUAUGCCUAUAAUAGGAAGACUCUGGAUAUCCUAUCCACUCCCCUGGCAUGGAGUAGCUGGGCUGAGCCAGCUGAAUGCUAAAUAUUCAGAGAACCUAGGGAAGUGGGUCAAGCUGCUAACCUGGGUUUGCAGAUCGAGACUAUCAGUCUUCUGGCUCUGCCAGUGAGUGGACACCUAAAUAUGCCCCUAAAACUAGAAGAUAAAAACUUUAAAGAUGACUUCUGGGUAUUUUAUAGAAUCAGGGCAAAAGUUAGUCACAGAUUGCUGCAAGCCCCCUGGUGCAGGCCUAGGCACCUUCAGGAAGGCCACCUCCUACCAGGAGCCUUUUUCGUACACGGGGGAGCUCUUUUCCAACUCUUGUUCCCCCUAUGACAGAAUCCUAGUGCCUAGCAUUGAAUGAGCUAUGUGGAAUAUCAGGUUACCAGGGAAAAGGUAGCUUGGAGUCAGGAGAUCAGAAAUUCUCAUACUUUUCAUCUCUUCCCAGUUUUCCUUGUAGACAGCUAGCCAAGCCCAGCGUCCCAGAGCUUACCAUUAUCAAACCAAGGCACACACAUGUACGCGCUCAGCUUAGAAGACCUCUAUCCAGCACAGAUGUCCAAAAAGAUACACCCUUUUGUUGGGAGUUAAUGUCCAUAUUCUUUCUUGUUCUCAUUACGGUCCCACCCCCUCCUCCAGACCGGCCAGGGCUCCAAGAGAAAAGGAAAGUAGAACAGCUGCAGUACAAUCUGGAGCUGGCCUUUCAUCAUCAUCUCUGCAAGACUCAUCGCCAAAGCAUCCUGGCAAAGCUGCCACCCAAGGGGAAGCUUCGGAGCCUGUGUAGCCAGCAUGUGGAAAGGCUGCAGAUCUUCCAGCACCUCCACCCCAUCGUGGUCCAAGCCACUUUCCCUCCACUCUACAAGGAGCUCUUCAGCACUGAAACCGAGUCACCUGUGGGGCUGUCCAAGUGACCUGGAAGAGGGACUCCUUGCCUCUCCCUAUGGCCUGCUGGCCCACCUCCCUGGACCCCAUUCCACCCUCUGCCUUUUCCUUUCCCAUGAACCCUGGAGGGUGGUCCCCACCAGCUCUUUGGAAGUGAGCAGAUGCUGUGGCUGGCUUUCUGUCAGCAGGCUGGCCUGGCAGUGGGACAAUCGCCAGAGGGUGGGGCUGGCAGAAUACCAUCUCCAGCCUCAGCUUUGACCUGUCUCAUUUCCCAUAUUCCUUCACACCCAGCUUCUGGAAGGUGUGGGGUGGCUGGGAUAUAAGGACUUCUGGGAGACCAAGACAUCCUCAAGAAAACAGGGGCAUCCAGGGCUCCCUGGAUGAAUAGAACACAAUUCAUUCAGAAGCUCAGAAGCUAAGAAUAAGCCUUUGAAAUACCUCAUUGCAUUUCCCUUUGGGCUUCGGCUUGGGGAGAUGGAUCAAGCUCAGAGACUGGCAGUGAGAGCCCAGAAGGACCUGUAUAAAAUGAAUCUGGAGCUUUAC
rnacentral:sRNA from 1 species